AGGCAAAAGAAGCUGCAGAGUUAAUAAGAUAGGAGUUAGCUGACUUAUCUCUUGAUGAAAAACAACUUCUCAUCUGGAUUGCAGAGUUAACCAACUUAGCCCAGAGUUUAAAUAAAAGAUCAGUUUCUCAAAAUGAUGUUCAAAAGGGGAUAGAGUUAGUAUGUGACUCAAUUAGAACCAAGAAAUCCCACAUAUCCAGUGUAGCAGUUUCAAGCAAAAUGAGAUCACGAUACCGUGCAAAGAUUGAAGCAGACAAGAAAAAGUUGAGGGAACUGAUAGCGGUCUACAAUGAAGACAAUAUUAACUUAAUUACUCCACUGAAAUAAAUGUUAUUGCAUUAUAGCUACUUGGUAAUUAUUUUAACAGGAACAGGGUAAAUACUCAAUAAAGAAGUCAUCAUUCCAGCAUGUAACCAGUGGACUUACGGCCCUCUUGCUAAAUAUGAAAAAAUUAUAUCAAAUUAAACUAAUUGAGGCAACUAACCUGUUUUCUGAAGACAGGGAAGUAGAGUACAACAAAUUUCAAACAGACAGUCAAGAUUCCGAGGAUUCCGAGACCGACAGUGACAACAGUGUAGUCAGUAUUGAGUCACAGACUGACAACGAAGAAAUGGAAGAAACACUCUUCCCUUUGAUUUGAGUAGCUUUAAGUAGCAAAGCAAAGAGAAAAUAACAAGUAUUCUCUACCCCUGGGUUGGGCAAAUGUUCUUUGCCCAAAUCAUCGUCAUGUUAAUUUUGCAUCCCUAUGUUGCUCAAGAAAGAUUUGUUUUCAAAUUAGUUUUUAUUUUUAUUAAUUACCCUCAAAGUUUUGUUUAGUUUAGAAAUGCUUAUUAAAUAAAUUGUAGUUGUAGU